rnacentral:rRNA from 1 species
AUUGAACGCUGGCGGCAUGCCUUACACAUGCAAGUCGAACGGCAGCACGGGGCAACCUGGUGGCGAGUGGCGAACGGGUGAGUAAAGCAUCGGAACGUGCCCUGGAGUGGGGGAUAACGUAGCGAAAGUUACGCUAAUACCGCAUAUUCUGUGAGCAGGAAAGCAGGGGAUCGCAAGACCUUGCGCUCUGGGAGCGGCCGAUGUCGGAUUAGCUAGUUGGUGGGGUAAAGGCCUACCAAGGCGACGAUCCGUAGCGGGUCUGAGAGGAUGAUCCGCCACACUGGGACUGAGACACGGCCCAGACUCCUACGGGAGGCAGCAGUGGGGAAUUUUGGACAAUGGGCGCAAGCCUGAUCCAGCCAUGCCGCGUGAGUGAAGAAGGCCUUCGGGUUGUAAAGCUCUUUCGGCCGGGAAGAAAUCGCAUGGGUCAAUACCCCGUGUGGAUGACGGUACCGGAAUAAGAAGCACCGGCUAACUACGUG